rnacentral:lncRNA from 1 species
AGGUAUCCGUAACACAUGCCGGAUUACCCAGCCACCGGUAGGACGUACAUGACAGGCACCUGGAUUCACAUAAAUCACAUAACUCAUAGUUUCCUAGUGACAUGUCACUUGUAUCUUAAACUAUUCCUAAGGUUCAACCGAAAUUUUCUCAUUGUCGAAACUUCGUUGAAUAGUUCCAUAGAAACAAUCAUGCAAUUCAUGUAAUAUUAAACAUUAAAUACGUAAUACAACAUUGCAUUAUUUACACACAAA